UUAAUUUAUGCACAAGAACCAAGAGAACAAGCAUUCCAUUAUCAGACAAAUUGAGGUUUUGGGGUCUCAGUUGACUUCAAUCUUUAAUUGAAAUGAAAUACUGGACCAUUUACAGUAAUAUGCAUUCAUACAUUUAUUGUCGGUGCAGUACAAUGUGGAAUUCUGUUGAAUAACUCAAGAAUGGACAAUCUCUGUUUUACACCGCCCAGAAAUAUCAAAAUCAUAACUACCUUCAGUUCAAAGCCAGCAGUGGAGAUGCAGGCAGCUACUCCUGUGCAGUAAGAGGUCAUGAGAAUCUCCUGUCCCCAGCAGUGACUCUCUAUCCUCCUAAGAGCAUCUUAUUAUCAGUGCGCCCCUCUGGUGAAAUAGCGGAGGGCAGUUCAGUGACUCUGACCUGCAGCAGUGAUGCCAACCGACAGUACUACUGUGAGGCACAGAACAGACUUGGAGCUCAGAAUGCUUCUGCUCUGCUGGUCACAGUGCAAGAGCAGAGCCUUCAGAGAGUGACAAACGCAGCCAGCAACACAAACUCUGUGCUUCAGAGAGCUGACGAGGCCUCAGUGUGGGAUUAAAACACACAGAGGAGAGAAUCUGCAGAGAAUGAGAAAUGAUGGAGAUCAGGGUGAAAGAGUCUCUUUUUGUCUUUAACUUUACAGAACUGCUGUCUGUUUCUGCUAGUUUAUCCAUCUUAUAAAGCUGUUGGUGGAGGAUUUUUCCCAGAGUACUGUAACCCUGCUGCAACAUGCAUGUUCAUGUAACCCUGCUGCAUACAUGCUCCUGUGACACCGUUACACGUUUAUAUAACUCUGUUACACACACGCUCAUAACUCAUGUACAUGCGCAUGUACUCUCUCACGUUGAAUCGAAAGAUUAUAAUGCAGAUUAAUGCAGAUUGUAAUCUCUAAACUCUUGGUAACUUUUAAAAGCAAGGUCCAACAUCUUUUAAAACAGUGUUUUAGCUUUACAUUUUACAAUGCCGUUGUAUUGACCCCAUUUUUACUUUCUGUCUGUUUAGCUAUUUGAAAUAAUGUAUCUUUGUGUUUGUUUUCUUUACAUACAUUGUUUUAUUAUGUCUAUCAAUAUAUUAUGAUUUAUUUGAGCAUUGUAAAGCACUGUGAACCUUGAACCUCUUUUUUGAUAAAGAUUAUCAUUAUUUUCUUUACAUGGCCAUCAUGUUUUGCCUGCAAACGCCGCCCCCCCAAAUAAAAUAAAAUAAAAUAAAAUAAACAAAUUAAAUAAUAUUCAUAUAAAUUCCAUUUUAUUCAUGUGUGGGCAUCUAUUUCAUUUCUGUGAAAUUUGAAAGAUACAAUAAUCCAAUCGGCUGUAUGUAGUAAAAAUCAUCUUCAUGAAGUAUAAGCAUUGAAAUGUAACUAAUUAUGUGCAUGAAGGACUGUAUAACAGGCAAAGCAAAACCAAAGUUCUAAACGGUCACAUGAACAUCAACCACAGAAACAGCGCUGCUUCACACUGAACUGAGGUGUGAAAUAAAAUAAAGAAUAGAACAGGCUGAAGGAAGUGAGCAGCGCUUUAACUGUCUGUGGUCAGGGUGGCUCAGGUCUGGAAGGCAGCCUCACCCACAGCCGCGCCCGCUACUCCUCUGCACAAAAGAGCCAAGCAGGGGCACCUCACAGUACCCGCUUUGGGGCCCCAAAGCUGUGAUACUUUCACAAAUAUAAAUACAACUGUCCACUCCUUUUAUCUUUGAAAUCUGCGAAAGCAAGUGCAAUCUAUAUGUUGAUCUGGGGGUCAUAGGCUAGGCUACUGCAGCAAUACGUAGCCAUUUGCAUUGGAACAUGGUUCCCUCUUUUUUCUGGCUUUUAAACUACUGUUAACAUAUUUUACACAGCUGUGAUGCUCAUGUAUCUCUUUAAUGUUUUUAUCUGAAUUAUUGUGUACCAAUAUAUCAAAUUACACAGUGAAGUUACAUUCUUGUAACAUAAUCUUUGUUGUCUAUAAUUUGAUUUUAUAUUGUCAUUCUGCAACCAUGCUAAACUGCAUGAGCUGCUACCUGUCUUAGCCAGGACACUCUUGAAAAAGAGAAUUUUCAUUUCAACAAUAAUCUCCUGGUUAAAUAAAAAUGUAAUAAUGUUUACAAAUAGAAACAAUUAUUCUUCAAGCUUUGCAUUCAUCACAGUCAGUCUGCCAUGUUCAGAAAUAUGAGCCUGUCAGCAGGGCUGUUUCAGACAGUUUGAAAACCGUUAAGAUCUCACCUCCUCUACCAGCGUAAGUGCAUGAUUUAGCCCUGUUUUUUUCUUAAUGGCUGUUAACACAUUGUUUCAUUGAGUUGUAAAAUAAUGUAUACGAUUCAAUAGAGAGCCUUGAUAGAAGUUGAGAGAAGAUAUCUUUAAUUUUUGCACGCUUCAAUUUGUUGCAUUGUUAUAAACAGUAAAAAAAUUAAAGUACAGUGUUGUUGUUCUCUGAUCUACGGAUUACAGCGAGUGCUUUAUUCUGUGCUAAUCUAGUGAUCCUAAUGGAGAUCAGUCUCUCUCACUGCUGAAAGGUGGCUAUGUGACCAGUGGGGAAAACAUGCACAGCAUUCGUUAAAACAGUAAAUUAGCUUUCUUUAAAUUAAAAUUAUGUAAAAAAAAAAAAAAUAUAUAUAUAUAUAUAUAUAUAUAUAUAUAUAUAUAUAUAUAUUCAUAUAUCAUUGCAUACUGAAAGUAACUCUUUCUUUUAUUACUUUCCAUGUUAUCUGUUAAACACUGAAUAUCAGUGAAUUUUUUGUGGAAUUUUGUUUAUGGCUUAUAAAAACAAAAGGCAAUAAUAUAAGUUAUGUUUUUUAUAUAUAUGUUCAGGCCGAUGCAGCCAUGCCCGAAACAACCUCAACAGUAUUUUUGUAAGCCCUUCUCUCUGCCUCAGGUAAACAAUUUAGCUACUUCAGUUCUGCUUAUUAAUGCCAGUUUACAGAGGUUACAUUAUCUAUCGGAAGCUGAAAUCUAUUUAGAAUUACUAUGAUUUGAUAUAACCCGUUUAACUCAUUAGACAGGGAAAGCAAAACAUUAAAGACAUGUGUUACAGGAAAUGGGAAUCUAAAUCUUACAUACAAGAUCACAUACGUUCUUUAGAUGCCCUAUAGGUGGACAUCUUAAACUGUUUUAAGCUACACUUGUAUGUUGUCUAAUCUGUGUUUGUUGUUUGCCCUUUUAUGUAUUGUGUAUGCACUGACGCUUUUACACAAAUUAAGUUCCUAACAGAUAAAGUUAUUUUGAAUUUGAAUUUGGUUUAGAGAUUCUAGGCUGAGCAGAAUCUUUUUACAUUUGUUUUUACCACACAUCUGCUGUGAAAUAUAGAACAAAUGAUUUAUCUUAAGUUCCUGUUUAUGCUCACCUCUGCAACAGAGAUGAAUAAAUUUCUUUGGCUUCAAGGCAUGGGCAGAACUGUAAAUGAACUGCAUUUACUGGUGUGCUCUAUUCCUGAGGAAAAUAAUAGGCUUUGCCAUCAUUUAAACUUUUGUGAAACUAAAUUUUAUACUUGAAAAUGUGUGUGUGUGUGUGUGUGUGUGUGUGCAUCUCCUUUGCAUAGUCCUCCAGACCCCUGUCUGAAGAUAUUACAGUCACAUAUUUUAUUAUAGUCUGCGCAGAUUAUAAUCUCCAAACUCAAGUCACUUUAAAAGUAAGGUCCUAGAUUUUAUUAAAACAGUGUUUUAGUACUUAAUUUUACAUCGCCUUGUUGUAUUGAGCCCAAAUUUAAGUAUCUGUUUGGUUUUAGAUAUUUGAAAGAAUGCAUAUUUUAAUUUGUUUUCUUUACAUACAUUGUUUUAUUAUGUGUAUCAAUGUAUUACAGAUUAUUUGAGCAUUGUACAGCACUGUGAACCUCAAACCUCUGUUCUGAAAAAUAUUAUCAUUAUUUUCUUCAUAUGGCCAUCAUGUCUUGCCUGCAUUCCAUUUAGUUCACAUGUGGGGAUCAAGUUCAUGUCUGUGAAUGAUACUAUAAUAAUACUAUACAAUAGGUCGUAUGUAGUAAAAGUCAUCUUCAUUAAAUAUCAGAAUUGAAAUGCAACUAAUAAUGUGCAUGAAGGAUCGUAUAACAGGCAAAGCCAAACCAAAGUUCUAAAAGGUCACAUGAACAUCAACCACACAAACAGCGCUGCUCCUCAGGACACUGAACUGAGGUGUGAAGUAAAAUAAAGAAUAGAACAGGCUGCAGGAAGUGAGCAGCGCUUUAACUGUCUCUGGUCAGGGUGGCUCUCGCCUGAAAUUAGGCAGCUUCACCCACAGCCGCGCCCGCUCUGCACAAAAGAGCCAAGCAGGGGCACCUCACAGUACCCGCUUUGAGGCACCAGAGCCGUGAUACUUUCACAAAGAUAACUACACCUGUCCGCUCCUGUUAUCUUCUGCAAAAUCAGUCUGCCAUGUUCAGAAAUAUGAACCUGUCAGCAGGGCCGUUUCAGACAAUUUGAAAACCGUCAAGAUCACACCUCCUCUACCAGCGUAAGUGGAUGAUUUAGCCCUGUUUUUUUCUUAAUGGCUGUUAACACAUUGAUUCAUUGAUUUGUAAAAUAAUGUAUAUGAUUCAAAAGAGUGCCUUGAUAGAAGUUGAGAGAAGAAAAAAAAAAUCUUUGAUUUUGCACGCUUACAUUUAUUGCAUGUUUUUAAACAGUGGAGAAAUUUAAGUACAGUGUUGUUGUUCUCUGAUCUACGGAUUACAGCGAGUGCUUUAUUCUGUGCUAAUCUAGUGAUCCUAAUGGAGAUCAGUCUCUCUCACUGCUGAAAGGUGGCUAUGUGACCAGUGGGAAAAACAUGCACAGCUUUAGUUAAAACAGUAAAUUAGCUUUUUAAAAAUUAAAAUAAUGUAAAAAGAAAUAAUAAUAAUAAAAUAAUAAAAACAAAAAAAAGAUCAUUGUUUUCUGAAAGUUACUCUUUAUUUUAUUACUUUCCAUGCUAUCUGUUAAAUGCUUAAUAUCAGUGAUUUUUUUGUGGAAUUUUGGUUAUGGCUUAAAAAACAAAAGGCAAUAAUAUAAGUUAUGUUUUUUUAUAUAUAUGUUCAGGCCGAUGCAGCCAUGCUCUAAACAACCUCAACAGUAUUUUUGUAAGCCCUUCUCUCUGCCUCAGGUAAACAAUUUAGUUACUUCAGUUCUGCUUAUUAAUGCCAGUUUACAGAGGUUACAAUAUCUUUCAGAAGCUAAAAUCUAUUUAGAAUUACUAUGAUUUGAUUUAACCUGUUUAACUCAUUAGACAGGGAAAGCAAAAAUUAAAGACAUAUGUUACAGGAAAUGGGAACCUAAAUCUUAUACACAAGAUCACAUGAGUUGUUUAGAUGCCCAUUUGGCAGACAUCUUAAACUGUUUUAAGCUACAUUUGUAUUUUGCAUAAUCUGUGUUUGUCGUUUGUCCGGUUAUAUGCUGAGCAUGCACUGACGCUUUUGCACAAAUGAUGUUCCUAACGGAUAAUUAAAGUUAUUUUGAAUUUUAAUUUGAAUUUGGUUUAGGGAUUCUAGGCUGAUCAGAAUCUUUUUUCAUUUAUUUUUGAAAUGUAGAGCAUAGAAAUUAUCUGAAGUUCCUGUUUAUUCACAGCUCUGCAACAGAGAUGAGUAGAUUUCUUUGGCUUCAUGACAUGGGCAGAACUGUAAAUGAACUGCAUUUACUGGUGUGCUCUAUUCCUGAAGAAAAUGAUAGAUUUUGCCAUCAUUUAAACUUUUGUGAGACUAAAUUUUAUUCUUGAAAUAAUGUGUGUGUGUGUGUGCGUGUCUCCUUUGCAUAGUCCUCCAGGCCCAUGUCUGAAGAUAUUACAGUCUCAUAUUUUAUUAUAGUCUGCGCAGAUUAUAAUCUCCAAACUCAAGUCACUUGUAAAGGUAAGGUCCUAGAUGUUUUUAAAACAGUGUUUUAGUACUUAAUUUUACAUUGCCUUGUUGUAUUGAUCACAUAUUUAAGUUUCUGUCUGGUUUUAGAUAUUUGAAA